ACGGCCUACCAAGGCUACGAUGGUUAGCUGGUCUGAGAGGAUGAUCAGCCACACUGGAACUGACACACGGUCCAGACUCCUACGGGAGGCAGCAGUGAGGAAUUUUGCGCAAUGGGGGAAACCCUGACGCAGCAACGCCGCGUGAGUGAUGAAGGCUUUCGGGUCGUAAAGCUCUGUCAAGUGGGAAGAACUUGUCUGGUGCGAAUACCACCGGGCACUGACGGUACCACUGAAGGAAGCACCGGCUAACUCCGUGCCAGCAGCCGCGGUAAUACGGGGGGUGCAAGCGUUAUUCGGAAUCAUUGGGCGUAAAGGGCGCGUAGGCGGCCUCUUAAGUCAGAUGUGAAAGCCCGGGGCUUAACCCCGGAAGUGCAUUUGAAACUGAGAAGCUUGAGUAUGGGAGAGGGAAGUGGAAUUCCUGGUGUAGAGGUGAAAUUCGUAGAUAUCAGGAGGAACACCGGUGGCGAAGGCGGCUUCCUGGACCAAUACUGACGCUGAGGCGCGAAGGCGUGGGUAGCAAACAGGAUUAGAUACCCUGGUAGUCCACGCAGUAAACGUUGAACACUAGGUGUAGCGGGUAUUGACCCCUGCUGUGCCGCAGUUAACGCAUUAAGUGUUCCGCCUGGGAAGUACGGCCGCAAGGUUAAAACUCAAAGGAAUUGACGGGGGCCCGCACAAGCGGUGGAGCAUGUGGUUUAAUUCGACGCAACGCGAAGAACCUUACCUGGGUUUGACAUCCCGAGAAGUCUCUUGAAAGAGAGAUGUGCCCUUCGGGGAAUUCGGAGACAGGUGCUGCAUGGCUGUCGUCAGCUCGUGUCGUGAGAUGUUGGGUUAAGUCCCGCAACGAGCGCAACCCUUAUCUUUAGUUACCAGCAUUCAGUUGGGGACUCUAAAGAUACUGCCCCGGUUAACGGGGAGGAAGGUGGGGAUGACGUCAAGUCCUCAUGGCCCUUAUACCCAGGGCUACACACGUGCUACAAUGGGCUGUACAAAGGGUCGCGAGCCCGCGAGGGUUAGCUAAUCCCAUAAAGCAGCUCUAAGUUCGGAUUGGAGUCUGCAACUCGACUCCAUGAAGCUGGAAUCGCUAGUAAUCGUGGAUCAGCACGCCACGGUGAAUACGUUCCCGGGCCUUGUACACACCGCCCGUCACACCAUGAGAGUUAGUUGUACCAGAAGUUGUUGGACCAACCCGCAAGGGGGGUAAGCACCUAAGGUAUGGCUGAUGAUUGGGGUGAAGUCGUAACAAGGUA
rnacentral:rRNA from 1 species